rnacentral:rRNA from 1 species
UUAAAUUGAAGAGUUUGAUCAUGGCUCAGAUUGAACGCUGGCGGCAGGCCUAACACAUGCAAGUCGAACGGUAACAGGAAGCAGCUUGCUGCUUUGCUGACGAGUGGCGGACGGGUGAGUAAUGUCUGGGAAACUGCCUGAUGGAGGGGGAUAACUACUGGAAACGGUAGCUAAUACCGCAUAAUGUCGCAAGACCAAAGAGGGGGACCUUCGGGCCUCUUGCCAUCGGAUGUGCCCAGAUGGGAUUAGCUAGUAGGUGGGGUAACGGCUCACCUAGGCGACGAUCCCUAGCUGGUCUGAGAGGAUGACCAGCCACACUGGAACUGAGACACGGUCCAGACUCCUACGGGAGGCAGCAGUGGGGAAUAUUGCACAAUGGGCGCAAGCCUGAUGCAGCCAUGCCGCGUGUAUGAAGAAGGCCUUCGGGUUGUAAAGUACUUUCAGCGGGGAGGAAGGGAGUAAAGUUAAUACCUUUGCUCAUUGACGUUACCCGCAGAAGAAGCACCGGCUAACUCCGUGCCAGCAGCCGCGGUAAUACGGAGGGUGCAAGCGUUAAUCGGAAUUACUGGGCGUAAAGCGCACGCAGGCGGUUUGUUAAGUCAGAUGUGAAAUCCCCGGGCUCAACCUGGGAACUGCAUCUGAUACUGGCAAGCUUGAGUCUCGUAGAGGGGGGUAGAAUUCCAGGUGUAGCGGUGAAAUGCGUAGAGAUCUGGAGGAAUACCGGUGGCGAAGGCGGCCCCCUGGACGAAGACUGACGCUCAGGUGCGAAAGCGUGGGGAGCAAACAGGAUUAGAUACCCUGGUAGUCCACGCCGUAAACGAUGUCGACUUGGAGGUUGUGCCCUUGAGGCGUGGCUUCCGGAGCUAACGCGUUAAGUCGACCGCCUGGGGAGUACGGCCGCAAGGUUAAAACUCAAAUGAAUUGACGGGGGCCCGCACAAGCGGUGGAGCAUGUGGUUUAAUUCGAUGCAACGCGAAGAACCUUACCUGGUCUUGACAUCCACGGAAGUUUUCAGAGAUGAGAAUGUGCCUUCGGGAACCGUGAGACAGGUGCUGCAUGGCUGUCGUCAGCUCGUGUUGUGAAAUGUUGGGUUAAGUCCCGCAACGAGCGCAACCCUUAUCCUUUGUUGCCAGCGGUCCGGCCGGGAACUCAAAGGAGACUGCCAGUGAUAAACUGGAGGAAGGUGGGGAUGACGUCAAGUCAUCAUGGCCCUUACGACCAGGGCUACACACGUGCUACAAUGGCGCAUACAAAGAGAAGCGACCUCGCGAGAGCAAGCGGACCUCAUAAAGUGCGUCGUAGUCCGGAUUGGAGUCUGCAACUCGACUCCAUGAAGUCGGAAUCGCUAGUAAUCGUGGAUCAGAAUGCCACGGUGAAUACGUUCCCGGGCCUUGUACACACCGCCCGUCACACCAUGGGAGUGGGUUGCAAAAGAAGUAGGUAGCUUAACCUUCGGGAGGGCGCUUACCACUUUGUGAUUCAUGACUGGGGUGAAGUCGUAACAAGGUAACCGUAGGGGAACCUGCGGUUGGAUCACCUCCUUACCUUAAAGAAGC